rnacentral:rRNA from 1 species
GACGAACCAAGCGAACGUUAUUCGGAAUUACUGGACUUAAAGCGCGUGUAGGCGGAUUGCCACGACGGCUGUUGAAAUCCCCCGGCUCAACCGGGGAACAGGCACCGAUACGAGUGAUCUUGAGGUGGGUAGGGGAGACUGGAACUUCCGGUGGAGCGGAGAAGUGCGUUGAGAUCGGAAGGAACGCCCGCGGCGAAAGCGAGUCUCUGGCCCCAUACUGACGCUGAGAGGCGAAAGCCAGGGGAGCAAACGGGAUUAGAUACCCCGGUAGGCCUGGCUGUCAACAUUGGGCACUGGGUAGUAGAACCGCCGAUGGUUUUACUGCCGCAGGGAAACCGUGAGAGGGCCCCGCCUGGGGAGUAUGGUUGCAAGGCUGAAACUCAAAGGAAUUGACGGGGGCUCACACAAGCAGUGGAGUAUGUGGCUUAAUUCGAGGCUACGCGAAGAACCUCUCCUAGGCUUGACAUGCAAGGAUUAGCCGGCGGAAACGUCGGUGACGCCGCAAGGUGGAACUUGCACAGGUGCUGCAUGGCUGUCGUCAGCUCGUGCCGUGAGGUGUUGGGUUAAGUCCCGUAACGAGCGAAACCCCUGUGUCCAGUUGCCAGCGCGUAAAGGCGGGGACUCUGGACAGACCGCCGGUGUUAAAUCGGAGGAAGGCGGGGACGACGUCAAGUCCUCAUGGGCUUUAUGCCUAGGGUUGCCCACGUACUACAAUGGGCCGGACAAAGUGACGCUAGACCGCGAGGUGGAGCAAAUCGCAAAAACCGUCCUCCAGUCCAGAUUGCGCUGUGCAAUUCGAGUGCAUGAAGUUGGAAUUGCUAGUAAUCGCGGAUCAGCACUUCCGCGGUGAAUGUGUUCCUGAGCCU